CAGCUGCUUCACUUUCAGGGCCCAUAGUUGUAGGUAAUGGUCCUGCAGAUUAUUUCAAAAGAUUGGCAAAAACAGUCAAAUCUCCUUCACUGCCGAAUUCUGAGACCAAACCAUGUGAUGAUGCUUUUUAGCAACAUUGCUCUAAUAAGCCAUACAAUUGCAUCUAUAAGUACAUCAUUUCUCUUACGCAUAAACAACGAUCAUCGUCUCUAUCAAACCCUAACUCUUCUCUAUGUUUAAACUUCUGUCGAUCUCUCCGCCUCAAAUCGUGGGAGCUCGCUGGAAGUCACCGGAGACAUGUGCGGAUCUACGAGCCAUUGAAGAUGGUAAACUGAUCUAUAGUCAUGUGAAUAUAGCAACUUCAGUAUCGACAUGUGCAUUUCUACUCCUAUGCUUGAUUUGUAUGCCAAAUGUGGGGAAUUUGAUAUGGCGUUGAAAGUGUUUGAUGAAAUGCCAAGAGAGAUAUUGUCGUGGGAAUGCUAUGAUUUUCGGGUUUUCUUUUUGUGGGCAUUUUACUGAAGCCGUAGGAUUGUUUGUGGAACCAUUGUUGGACUGUUUCCUGCUCUAGGAGUAGCUGGUGCAUUUAUGAAAAGGAAAGUUGUUCAUGGGUAUGACAUAUUUGAGUGGAAGGCAGCUGAGAAUGUGUACAAGCAGGAAUUUUCGGCGGCAGCUACAUGGAGACUAUUGUGGCAUGCUUCUCCAACAGUGGAAUGGGCUAACCUGGUUUGGUUCAAACAGGUUAUUCCUAGGUACGCCUUUGUACAAUGGAUGGUUAUGCAGGGGAGGCUGCCAACAAGAGACAGGUUGAUGCGAUGGAACGUUACACAAAACUCAACAUGUGUGUUGUGCAAUGAAGAGGAAGAGACGCAUGCACAUAUAAUUUCAUAUGUUCAUUCAGUUUGGAGAUUUGGUAGAUGUUGGCAGGGAGAAUUUGGACAACCCCCUGCCGAGUUAAUGAGAUGCCAUCAGUGGUUGGAACAUAUCUCGUCGACCGACGGAUAGGAAAGAAAAGUUAUGCUGAAGACACUAAUCCAACAUGCGGUGUACGAAAUCUGGAAGGAGCGGAACUCUCGCGUGUUCAGAAACGCUGCAUCGACUCCUCAAGCCCUUAGCAUACGGAUUGACAGAUUAGUGCGGACUACACUCCUCUCAUUACAGCAGGCCGGUCGAAGUAGAAGCAACUUCUUGCUUCAGAAAUGGUACUCUUGGACUAUAGAUUGAGAACUAGUCGUAUUCAUUGGUAAAUUAUGUUGCAAACUCAUUCCUUUAUAGGUUGGCUAGCGAAAGCUUUUAAUGUGGAUUUUUAUCCUGUACUAUGUACUACCCAUUUUUUAGUAAUAUAUUACACAUCUUAUCAAAAAGUUGUUCAUGGGUAUUGUACGAGAAUGAGUUUUAGUGAUGAUUUAGCUGUUAGCACAAGGACAUUAGAUAUGUAUGCCAAAAGCAAGUGCAUAAUCUAUGUGAAAAGGGUUUUUGAUUCA